CUCCCUGGCGGCGUUGUGGGUGGUGGGCUAGGGUGCCUAGGUAAGGGUGGGGUGGUUCCGUGGUUGGCAGGGUGUGGUGGUUGGGGUGCAAACAGAUUUGUUUUAGGUGUGUCGGGCUAGGUCUAGGGGUUGGACGAGAGGAGAGGGUUGGGCUAGGUCUAGGGGGUUGGAGGGGAGGAGAGGGUUGGGUGAGCGGCGGCCGGAGGAAAGGUGGAGGAGAGGAGAGGGAUGGGUGAGCGGCGGCCGCUCGUGAUCCACCUAUCAGGUGGUGAUGUGGCAAACUUCGCCCACCCCUAGCACCCCGACCCGUUGUAGCCGAGCGCGCAGCGGGCCGCAGAGCGGCGGAAGCCAACGCGGCAGAGGAGGUGAGCUCCAGCGGGUUCGGCAGCCGCGGCAUGGGCAAGCAGGGGCGCGACGCGCUGGAGCGGCAGCCGUCGCUGCACGACCACGAGAGGACGCGCGACUGCCUGCUCUCGUUCGUGUACCACUCGGCCCUGCACUACCUCCGCGACCCCUUUCUGCCCCACGACCAGUUGUACCGGCCCCACCCGACCACCUGCUCGGCCUCGACCAGUCCACGGAGGUGCUUCCGCAGUAGCCGCCGCGGCCGGACCUGCACAUGCUCUUGCUCGGCCGGCACGGCGGCCUCGACGAGCGGUACCUGUUGCACCACGACAGCCUGUUGUCCCGGCAGGAGUACUGCCUCAGGUAGCCGCCGCACGAACUUCAGCAGUAGCGGUUGGAGCUGCGGAAGAAGAGCCCCUCCGGUGACCAGUCGGAGCACGUUGAAGUUCGUGUUCUUGAAGAGGUCGAAGUAUACUACCUGGCGCCCUCCAGCAUUUCGCUCGCCACACACGGUACUUGAGACGAAGGAACCGUAGGUUCAAGCACAGGACACCACAGGUAAGAACUAUAUCACGGUACUAAAACGGACAGUAAUGAAAGGCACGAUAAUGUGAAAACAAACAGUAAUGAAAGGCAAGGUGCGGUCGAGUGCGCGUGCCUAGAUAGACGUAUACUAAUUAGGAACUAAAACUCAAUACUAUACAAUACGAUUGUUAAAACACCCUGAUGUCCAAAACUCUAGAAACGAAAGGGUACGUUGGUCAAACCACCCGUCAUUGAACCGUAACUAUUCCUUUAACAAAUCUAACAAAGGUGAGCAAAGGUACGAAUCAUAGACUAAAAACCGUUCCAUUUACACACGUACUAUGAAGGAGGAAAAAACCACAGAGAGAAAGUUCGACUUUCUUUGCUAACGAAAUCACAUGUUACAUGUAAUAAUGACGAAGGUAUUGUCAUUACAUAAAUUAACUCCUUUAUGCUAGGUCGUACAGAACAGAUAAGACAUACGUCAGACUCACUAUAUUCCCACGCAAACCCUCGGUUUCAUAAAAACAUCAAAAAUUCCUUAUGACACCAAAGACUUUCUUUCGAACCAUAAGUUAUGAAACUCAGCAAACCUACUUUUUUUAUGAUGUCAAAUUGUUUGGCACCAUAGGGAUUUUAACACCAGAAAAACAUCAUAUAUUUUUUCUCCAGACCUGGAGAAAAAUUUUUUGACUCUUUGCAACCGACCCAACAGAGAAACAGGUAGAAGGAGACCGGUAGCUACGGAGAGUGUGUAUUUUAGCUAUCGAUCAGCUAGCUAGAUAGGCCAAUCUCCCCGCGUGUCUGUGCAUGUUUACUGCUGAAUCACGGCCGACUUUUGUGUACAGCUGAACGUCGCGUACAGCAUUGAUCGAGACAGAAAGUAACUAAUGUCCUAUAUUGAGAUAUGUCUCUAGGAAGGAUCGUAGAUCCUCUCUUGUACGGGCACGUUUCGGCGUACGUAUCUUUUUGACGGUGAACGGUUUGUGAAUUGCUUUGACCCUUUUAGAUACAAAAAGUAUUUGAUCUCAUAAACAACGGGUAGAUAACUUUAUGACUCCAAAACCUUAUGAUACCAAAACCUUUUUGCCACAACGGUUUGAUCCGGAUUUUGAAAAACCUGAUGGUUACAACAUUUCCAAUUUAAUAAUAUAAAAUUCCAACAUUUCCGACAUACAACACAACCGAUUCUGAUUUCUAACAUUUAAGUAGUAGCAUGGUUACAGUAAGAGAAACGUCUACUAAGAUCUUUGAUAUAAUAGUCAAGUAACGAUGAAACAUACACGGAAUACUAUACAGGAGCAUAUACAGACCUGACUUUAUACUCACAGAACCAGGAAGAAUAUAAUAAAAAAUACUAGAGUCAGUCGGAGAAAGUGUGGGUAACACAACUCCUGGUUACUUUUAUACAAGUAAAACUACAGUAAAAUAAACACUCAUUUAUCUUCAAUUGGACUAAUACACCAACGUACUAAACGGACUAAGACACAAAGAAAACCUGAAAUACAAAAAGAUACUUGAACAGUUUAGAUAUACGCAAGAAUAUAUUAAUAAGAGACGUGAAAGUGAUGAUCCUUUAUAGAAUAUCGAAAUCAACACGUAAUCCCGAAUUUAUUCUUAGAGACCCUUUUUUACAACGUGUAACCGUAGAUGUACAUGACGUAACAAAAGCACGGUAAGAAGACUUCUUAGACUUCAAAGACUUGGAAACAAACAUUACGACGUCCCAAGACCACCGCUACUACUGUCAGCAGCUCUCCAAGCACCUGAACUGCCACAGCACCGACUGUCCAAAGUCUCACGCCCCUCGCCCCGUGCACAUGCUACCGAAUGAGGCAGGCGACCACCGUUCCGUGCUCCUGCUGUAGCUGGCUCGGUCGACCUCGACUUCCGGUCUCGCUCCCUACACUGACGCAGCGUUGAGUUCCACCGCCGACACACAGCAGCGUCGACAUCCGGCACUCUAGUCCGGCCCGUCCGAGGCGCGUAACUGCUCACCAGGUUAAAGGCCUAGCUCAGUAUUGUUGAAUGCAUCCAUCAACGAAUACAUUGACACGCUAUCUUACCUUAAUAUGUACUCAACCACGAUGUUACACCUUAACCUCUUCUACACUUUUGACACACUAUCUUACCUAAACCAACUAAAAAAAUUAAAUAUUAUUCAAUCAUCAUCGCACCCCUAUUUUACCGU
rnacentral:rRNA from 1 species